AAAAAAUUUUUAUAGAGAAUAUAUUUUAUGGGGGUUAAAGUAUAUUUAAUAGAAAAAAUUAAAAAUUUUAUAGAGAAUUAGUAUUGUGAAAGAAAUUUGAAAUAAUUGAAAAUAUAUUAAUUAGAAAGUAAAUUUAAUUUAUUGUAUCUUGUGUAUCAGAGUUUAUUAAUUAAAGAUUAAAUAAAUUAAAAUUCUCGAAUUAAAAAGAGAUAAUUAAUUAUAAAAGUUAUUGUAGCAAAAAUAUUUUUAAUAAUUAAUUUGAAAUGAAAUGUUAAUCGUUUUUUAAGAUAUCUAGUUUUUUUAGAAAAAAAUUUAAUUUUAUAUUUUUUUUUGUAUUUAAUUUAAUUAAUUAAAUUAAAUAAAUAAAAAUAUAAUAUUUUAAGGGAUAAGCUUUAAAAUAAAAAUUUAUAAUAAAAUUUAUUUUAAUAAUUAAAAAUUUUAAAAUUUAUAUUGUUUAAAAAUUAUAAUUUAUUAAAAAUAAUUUUAAUUAAAAUAAAAUUUAAUUUUAUUUAAUUUUUUAUAAAAAUAUAAUUUUUAAUAAAAUAAAAUUAAAAAUAAUGAUAAAAUUAGUAUAUAAUUUAUAAUUAAUAAAUAAAAUAUAUAAAAAUAAAUUUAUUAAAUUAAAUAAAAGGAAUUCGGCAAAAAUUUAUAUUCACUUGUUUAUCAAAAACAUGUCCUUUUGAUUAAUAAUUUAAGGUCUAAUCUGCCCACUGAUAAAUAUUAAAGGGCUGCAGUAUUUUGACUGUACAAAGGUAGCAUAAUCAUUAGUCUCUUAAUUGGUGACUUGUAUGAAUGAUUUGAUGAGAUAUAAACUGUCUCUUAUUUAAUAUAUAGAAUUUAAUUUUUUAAUUAAAAAGUUAAAAUGAAUUUAAAAGACGAGAAGACCCUAUAGAGUUUUAUAUAUUUAUUAAUUUAAAUAAAUUAUUUAUAAUAAUAUUAAAAUUAGUGAAUAUAUUUUAUUGGGGUGAUAAAAAAAUUAAAAUAACUUUUUUUGUAAUUAAUACAUGAAUAAGUGAAUAAUUGAUCCAAAAUUUUUGAUUAUAAGAAAAAAUUACCUUAGGGAUAACAGCGUAAUUUUUUUUUUUAGUUCAAAUAAAAAAAAAAGUUUGCGACCUCGAUGUUGGAUUAAGAUAAAAUUUAAAUGCAAAAGUUUAAAAUUUUGAUCUGUUCGAUCAUUAAAAUCUUACAUGAUCUGAGUUCAAACCGGUGUGAGCCAGGUUGGUUUCUAUCUUUAGAAAAUAAAAAUAUUUUAGUACGAAAGGAUUAAAUAUUUAAAUUAAAUUUUAAAUGUUGAAUAUUAUUAAAAAAAAUAAAAAAUUUAUAAAGAUGAUU
rnacentral:rRNA from 1 species